UACGUAGGGUGCGAGCGUUGUCCGGAAUUAUUGGGCGUAAAGGGCUCGUAGGCGGUUUGUCGCGUCGGGAGUGAAAACCUCGGGCUUAACUCGGGGCUUGCUUUCGAUACGGGCAGACUAGAGGUAUGCAGGGGAGAACGGAAUUCCUGGUGUAGCGGUGAAAUGCGCAGAUAUCAGGAGGAACACCGGUGGCGAAGGCGGGUCUCUGGGCAACAACUGACGCUGAGGAGCGAAAGCGUGGGGAGCGAACAGG
rnacentral:rRNA from 1 species